rnacentral:lncRNA from 1 species
UUAAAUAUUUACUUAAAUUUCAUGCAUAAAAAUUAUUAAAGGCAGAUAAAAAAUAUUCAAAACUGAAAAAUAAAAUUAGUCGAAUAUGAAAUAAUAACCACAAUUUCUCUCCAACCAGCCACGGUGUAAAAAAAAAUAUUGCAUAUAAUUACAUUUUUCUAUAAUAUAACAAUUCAGCUGAUUGUUACUCAUAAUUUAUUAUAUUUAAACCAUCGACCAAUCGCAAAUCAUCGAUAUUUAAUCUUUAUCUCCUGCAUGCUAAAAAAAAAACUUUUUGCUAU